rnacentral:pre_miRNA from 1 species
CAUUAAAAAUUUCAUCUAUUUCCACUAUUAAAAACUAGCAUGGUUAAUGAAAUAACUAAAUAGUUACAUAUGGCAUGCCAUGUAUACCUUAUUUUGAUGUACAAAGAACAAUUUUUAACAAUAAAAAUAGAUGAAUUUUUUGACA